CACGUAGGCGGGAAUUUAAGUCAGAUGUGAAAGACCGGGGCUCAACUCCGGGGUUGCAUUUGAAACUGGAUUUCUUGAGGGCAGGAGAGGAAAGCAGAAUUCCUGGUGUAGCGGUGAAAUGCGUAGAAAUCAGGAGGAAUACCAGUGGCGAAGGCGGCUUUCUGGACUGUCCCUGACGCUGAGGUGCGAAAGCGUGGGUAGCAAACAG
rnacentral:rRNA from 1 species